CAGUGGGGAAUAUUGCACAAUGGGCGCAAGCCUGAUGCAGCCAUGCCGCGUGUAUGAAGAAGGCCUUCGGGUUGUAAAGUACUUUCAGCAGUGAGGAAGGUGGGUAUGUUAAUAGCAUAUUCAUUUGACGUUAGCUGCAGAAGAAGCACCGGCUAACUCCGUGCCAGCAGCCGCGGUAAUACGGAGGGUGCGAGCGUUAAUCGGAAUUACUGGGCGUAAAGCGCAUGCAGGUGGUUUGUUAAGUCAGAUGUGAAAGCCCCGGGGCUCAACCUCGGAAUUGCAUUUUGAAAACUGGCAAACUAGAGUACUGUAGAGGGGGUAGGAAUUUCAGGUGUAGCGGUGAAAUGCGUAGAGAUCUGAAGGAAUACCGGUGGCGAAGGCGGCCCCCUGGACCAGAUAACUGACACUCAGAUGCGAAAGCGUGGGGAGCAAACAGGAUUAGAUACCCUGGUAG
rnacentral:rRNA from 1 species